rnacentral:rRNA from 1 species
CGGUUAAUUAGUGGAAGACGUGUGAUGAAAACGUGACAGUUGGCAGUGUACCGUGUAUUGUGGUGUUAGGCGCUCAAGUGUGUUCGGUUAAUGUUGAGUGAUUUCUCAAAUGUCGACCUCAGAUCAGACGAGAUCACCCGCUAAAUUUAAGCAUAUCAAUAAGCGGUGGAAAAGAAACGAAAACGAAUUCUCCGAGUAGCGGCGAGCGAAACGAGAGCAGUCCAUACACCGAAGUCGGCGAGCAGUUGUGUUCGUCAACAGUGUGGUGUUAAAGGUGUCGUUGCAUGUGCUGAAAUCGGUUCGUAGGCUCCCUUGAUUGGGGCUUCAGAGCGGGUGCAGGACCCAUAACGAACGAUGUUUUGUGCAUGGUGUCGCGGCUCCUAAUCGAGUCGGGUUGCUUGAGACUGCAGCCCAAAGCGGGUGGUAAAUCUCACCCAAGACUAAAUAUUCGUACGAGACCGAUAGCGAACAAGUACCGCGAGGGAAAGUUGAAAAGAACUCUGAAGAGAGAGUUCAACAGGACGUGAAACCGUUGACAGGCAAACGGAUGGAGCUGACGGUGCAAUUUUGACCAAAAUCAGUCGUCGCUGUGUUCGUUGGCGAAUGAAUCUUUUGCAAACUUGUUUGUGUAGAUUAUCUUUCGUUUCGAAUGUACGCACGGUGCACUUUUGGUCGAUUAGCGUCACGAGCAACGUUCGCAUUUUUUGCUGCCGACAGUAAUUGUGUUUGUUGUUUUAAAAGCAACAAACAAUAAAGGCGGUUUGUGGAAGAGGUAAUUGUGGUAAAGACUUGUGCUUUUGUCUCAAUUGCCGUGCCAAUGCCGCAUCUGUCGGAUGAAUGUUGUUGUUGACAAGUUGAAGAGCAUUGUUCUGCGUACAAUUGUAAUGGGUCUGUUGGUGCCGUUGCGUUCGUGGGUUUCGGCUCACGAUUUGUCUGGUACGUCGGGAAAAAAGUCAAUUAUGAAUGUAAUUGAUCUGGCUACCGUGCGUAACGGUAUUCAAAUGUGUGUAUGAUGGACUUUAUUUGCAAUCGGCGCUCAAUGUGUUUUCUUUUAUCGGUGGCGUCAAUGUUAGCCUCCCAUCCGACCCGUCUUGAAACACGGACCAAGGAGUUCAGUAGGCACGCGAGUCGUUGACGUUUUUCAUUGAACAGUCGAAGGCGAAAUGAAAGUGUUCAUGAAAAUGAACAGUACUUUUCUAUGGAGUGCUGCUCGUUUUCAACAUGAUCGUCCUUUUUUGUGCUUAAUUGUGCAAAAUUGAUAGAUGGGGACCACUGUUCUUUCUUUCUCUUCGGGGUUGGAGGAACAAUUGUCGAUCAGUCGGUUUCGGAGCGUGCACACUGGUACCCGAAAGAUGGUGAACUAUGCUUGAGCAGAAUGAAGCCAGAGGAAACUCUGGUGGAAGUUCGUAGCGGUGUUGACGUGCAAAUCACUCGUCUGACUUGAGUGUAGGGGCGAAAGACUAAUCGAACCAUCUAGUUGCUUGUAACAAUUUUAUCCGGUAGAGCGAAUGAUUAGAGGUGUUGGGAACGCAAUGUUCUCAGCCUAUUCUCAAACUUCGAAUGGGUAAGCAAGGCGUUUUGCUUUGAUUUUACGAUGAAAUCGCCCAAUUAGAAUGCAUAAAUGCCUAGUGGGCCAAUUUUGGUAAGCAGAACUGGCGAUGUGGAAUGAACCAAAAGUCAGGUUAAGGUGCCAGACAUUGGCGCUCAUGAAAUACCAGAAAAGGUGUUGGUCGAUAUAGACAGCAGGACGGUGGCCAUGGAAGUUGGAAUCCGCCAAGGAGUGUGUAACAACUCACCUGCCGAAUCGACUAGCCCUGAAAAUGGAUAGCGUUUGAGCGCCAGGCCCAUACCUGACCGUCUCAAUUACGCACUUUUUUCUUUUUUGAAAAAGGUGUAAUGAACGUUGAGACGGGUAGGAAGGUCGCGACAGUGUUGCUUUGAAGAGUUUUGAGCGUGAGCUCGCUCGGAGCCGCUGUUGGUGCAGAUCUUGGUGGUAGUAGCAAAUAUUCAAGUGAGAACCUUGAAGGCUGAAGUGGAGCAAGGUUCCAUGUGAACAGCAGUUGGACAUGGGUCAGUCGAUCCUAAGAAAACGGCGAAAGCUUGUUCGAAUUUGCGACAUGAAUUGUAAGACUGUGUGUGUUUAUUGUGUGUGCGUGUGCAGUUGUCGUAUGUUUUCGAAAGGGAAUCCGGUUGAUAUUCCGGAACCGAGUAACGGAGACAAAGAGUAGCGCUUUAAUCUCUCUGUGGGGUUGGCGUUCAACUCAAUCGCGCGGUAACGCAAGCGAACUCGGAAAAUGACCGUCGUGAGUUUCGAAAAGAGUUUUCUUUUCUUUUUAAGGGACGCAUUCCCUGGAACCGGGUUGUCCGGAGAUAGGGAUUCUGGUAUCCAUAAAACGCCGACUUUUUCACGGUGUUCGGAGCGCUCUCGUCGGUACGUGAAAAUCCGAGCGACGCCUGGUAAAUCUCGUACUUGGUCGUACUGAUAUCCGCAGCAGGUCUCCAAGGUGAAUAGCCUCUGGCCGAUAGAAUAAUGUAGGUAAGGGAAGUCGGCAAAACGGAUCCGUAACUUCGGAACAAGGAUUGGCUCUAAGGGCUGGGCCGAUCGGGCUGAGGUUUCAAGCGUGCAGUGUAUGCUUGGCUGAGUUGUGUUGAGGACUUGUUCACUUGCCGCCGUUUGUUCGGUUGGUCUAGUGUAUUCGAGUCUGAAGCAGAGCUGGCCGACAGACCGGCACGUGCAGAACCUGAGCUGCGCGGCUGUCCGUUUACGUGUACAGACCGUUUCGGUCGGCAUUAACAAAGCAUUGCGAUGGCCGAUGAUCGGUGAUGACGCAAUGUGAUUUCUGCCCAGUGCUCUGAAUGUCAAAGUGAAGAAAUUCAAUCAAGCGCGGGUAAACGGCGGGAGUAACUAUGACUCUCUUAAGGUAGCCAAAUGCCUCGUCAUCUAAUUAGUGACGCGUAUGAAUGGAUCAACAAGAUUCCUUCUGUCCCUAUCUACUAUCUAGCGAAACCACAGCCAAGGGAACGGGCUUGGCAAAAUCAGCGGGGAAAGAAGACCCUGUUGAGCUUGACUCUAGUCUGACUCUGUGAAGAGACAUGAAAGGUGUAGCAUAGGUGGGAGAUU